rnacentral:tRNA from 1 species
GGCGGCGCUCGCCCGCGGGCAGGGCCUGCGGGGUGAGGUCGCGGUCGUCCGCAACGGGGUGGACCUCGGCCGGUUCCGCCCGGCCGGAGCCG